rnacentral:rRNA from 1 species
AAAAUUUAAUUUUUUUUAUGUUAACCUAACACAAGAGCAUUUCAAGUAAGAUUAAAAGAAAAAGAAGGAACUCGGCAAAUAUUAACCUCGCCUGUUUACCAAAAACAUCGCCUCUUGCCCCAAUAUAAGAGGUCCAGCCUGCCCAGUGACUCUGUUCAACGGCCGCGGUAUCCUAACCGUGCGAAGGUAGCGUAAUCACUUGUUCUUUAAAUGAGGACUAGUAUGAACGGCACCACGAGGGUUAUACUGUCUCCUUUUUCCAAUCAGUGAAACUAAUCCCCCCGUGAAGAAGCGGGGAUAAACAUAUAAGACGAGAAGACCCUAUGGAGCUUUAAACUCAAUAACACUUGCUUUUAAACAUAAAUACUUCAGAGUAAUAAACACCCAUUACGGCCUCCUGAUUAUUAGUUUUAGGUUGGGGUGACCGCGGAGCAAAAAACAACCUCCACAUUGAACGGGGAACAUCCCCUGAGCCACGAGCCACAACUCUAUGCACCAAUAAAUUGACAUCUCUUGACCCAAUAUAUUGAUCAACG